rnacentral:rRNA from 1 species
CAAUAGCGUAUAUUAAAGUUGUUGCGGUUAAAAAGCUCGUAGUUGGAUUUCUGCCGAGGACGACCGGUCCGCCCUCUGGGUGUGUAUCUGGUUUGGCCUGGGCAUCUUCUUGGAGAACGUAGCUGCACUUGACUGUGUGGUGCGGUGUCCAGGACUUUUACUUUGAGGAAAUUAGAGUGUUUCAAGCAGGCACACGCCUUGAAUACAUUAGCAUGGAAUAAUAAGAUAGGACCUCGGUUCUAUUUUGUUGGUUUCUAGAGCUGAGGUAAUGAUUAAUAGGGAUAGUUGGGGGCAUUCGUAUUUAACUGUCAGAGGUGAAGUUCUUGGAUUUGUUAAAGACGGACUACUGCGAAAGCAUUUGCCAAGGAUGUUUNCAUUG